UGGCGUGGAAUCUGGAGGAGAGGUGACAGGUGUUCGCUAUUCCCCUGAUUAUUCUGCAGAGGACUAUUUAAGGAGGAGGCUGCCAGCAACUCACUGCCAGAGUGUUGCCCUUAGUGGUACUAACUCAGCUACGUUACCUUUGCCUUUGACCUUGCCUUGUACACCAAGUAACUUUGUCUUUGUAUCCUGCAGGUUUCCUGAACCUGAUUUUGCCUUGCAUUGAAUCCUGCCUGGAUAAACCAUCUUCUGGAAGGAAGCAAUCCAGUUCCAUGAACAAAGACUCAAGUCUCUCAUGACUUCGUUAGAUCACGCCAGCUGGCAGCCUCCUGAUUCCUGCGUACCUCGGACCUCCAUCUGCGAACCCUGUCCACCCUCCUCCCUCCAUCGCACCUCAUGGAUUACAAACUCUCCUGGCUUACCAUAUCCACCAACUUCAGUCUCACCGGCAAACAACCACUUGGUUUCUCCACUCCCCCUCUGGCGGAUCCCUCCACCAUUCUUUUUUGCAUCCUGGUUCCAGUUCCCUGCAUUAUUCACCCAGUUGUAAAUAGACACUUUACC